CCCCACUCCAAACCCUAAUUCUUUUACUGCCUCCUCUCUCUCUCUCUUUACACUGCCCGCGCUCUUUAUUGACGCCGUCAAUUUCUCUCUACAGCCCACUCUCUCUAUACUGACGAUGUCACGUGAGCGGCACUCAUCUUCCACAGGCGCCUUGCAACAGUAGAUGCACGUGUGACAGAUUUGUAAGAUCGUCGACUGGCUGGGGCUAUGGGAUUGUUGAUGAGAACGAAGGUGCCGUAACAAAUCUGUGAAGGAGUGGCUGUCGACGAGGUGAACUGGUGAACAAUAUGAUGGUGGAAAUGGGUGAUCGACGACGAUUUGCUUUAAGUGUGUGAGGUGGUGGUCCGAUGAGAUUUGGGUAAACAGGGACAAGCGAGUUCCUAAUUUGUUAGGCGUGGAUAGAUAUGGUUUUGGUGGAGGCUCUUAGUGAUUUAUUUGUUGAUUUGGAGAGAUGAUGAUGAAAAUAUAGUGGUCCACAAUGUUGUAAUGAGUUGAUGUAGCCGGCAAAAGACAGGACACACGGGCAGUGGUUUUGGGGGUUUUUUUGGUGGUUUGGAAAUUAAGAUGCAGUGCCGCGACGGCUGCAGUGGCGAUGGUAGUGUUAGCGAUGGUGGGGACGACGGUGCUGGUGUGGUGCUGGGGGUUGCAGUUGCAGGGACUGUAUGGUAUGAAAGUGUUUGUGACCAACUAUUUAGGGUGGGCACUGAGGUGAUGGUUGUGAUUUUGGCUGUGGUGGUGAAGUCGGGGCAGUGGUUGUGGGUGGUUGGACGAUUUUUUAUUUUUUGGGUGUAGGUUUUGUUGGUGCUUGGACGACAAUUAUGGUUUUGCGAGGUCUGGUGGUGGUAAUGGUGAUAGUGAUGGUGGCUGUCUUGGCUGUGAUGAGAUGAAGUUGGAUACUUGUAAUCAAUUAUUUUGUUGAUUGUGAAUAUAUGACUUCAAAAUUUAAAAAUUGUGACUGUGACACACAAGUGAUUAAGUUAUGAUCGAAAAAUUAAUUGUGAUCAUAAUCUAAUAAUUUGCUAUGAAUAAAUGAGUUGUGAUCAAUAAUAAUUUUGAUUCUGUGAU
rnacentral:lncRNA from 1 species